rnacentral:lncRNA from 1 species
GCUAGAGAUAAAACAGGAUGUGAUAAACUUUGCUGCAACUCAUGAUGUCACUAAAUGGACAUGAAAACAAUGAAACAAACAUGAAAACAAUUUCACCAAAAAUCUGAGGAGAGCUGAAACUUCUAGCACUGGAAAGCUGAGAAAAUGCAUUACUUUCCCCCAACGCCAAGAAACUACAAUUUGCCAGGUAUUACAUUUUCUAAUACUCAGUCCAAUCUGCAUAACAUCACUGUCAGGAAAGAAGACCUUUAAAGCACAGACUUCCAAGCAACCAAAUCCAAUGGACCAAAGCGGAAUGAAAAGUAGAAAAGGAACAUGAUACAAGAAGCUGUGUCAGGGGAGGUUCAGAUUGGGUAUUUGGAAAUGAUUCUUCCUCAAGAG